rnacentral:rRNA from 1 species
CUCAUUCGGACUGGAGUCUGCAACCCGACUCCACGAAGCUGGAUUCGCUAGUAAUCGCGCAUCAGCCACGGCGCGGUGAAUACGUUCCCGGGCCUUGUACACACCGCCCGUCACACCAUGGAAGUCUGCAAUGCCCGAAGCCGGUGGCCUAACCACUUAUGUGGAAGGAGCCGUCUAAGGCAGGGCAGAUGACUGGGGUGAAGUCGUAACAAGGUAUC